ensembl:lncRNA
AAAGACCCAAGCCAUCCCCUUGCUUCUAGCUUCUUGCCUCUCCCUCACUCUUGUGAGCAUGCGACAGAAGUGGAAAUGCAGCAGUGAGGAGGCAAAGCAGCAGUACACUCAGACUGGAUCUAUUCCAGGGAAUAAUAAUAGUGACUGAGUUUCAGAUAAAAGAAAAAAGAAAGACAAGAUGUUGUUUUACUUCCGUGAUUCUUGGGAAAAUGCAAAAAUACCAAUUAAGCUGUAAUUUUAACUCACAGCUGUCUUUCAAUGCCAAUGAAAAAGACUGAACCACUGAUUGAUCACCUGAGGCAAGGGCUGAGUCAGCCCUGGGAGCACAGGUGAAGGCAAUUCACCUGUUUGACCAGAAGGGGUGGAGCCUAGCUGCACCUCUCCUAGAUCUGUUUAAAGGCUGACUGAAGCUGCAGAAGGAUUUCUUUCUGGAGAUUCUUCCUUUGGAGUCUUCUACUGUGAUCCUAGGACACGGCCGAAAUGGGACAGGGUUUAUUGAUGGGCUUUCCUUCUGGAUUCCAUUGGCUUGAAGAGGUGGGGUUCUGUAAAGGACCGAUCAUAGAGGUUGGGUGAAAAGAAAAGUCUGAGACAGAUUUGAGUCACCAGAAUAAAUCUGAAUUGUGGAGCAACAGAAGACGUAAAAUAGAAGACUUUCAUCUAUGAAAGCUCAUAGAUGGCUGCAUGUGGAAUUUGGUAGUUACAAAGUUACAGAACAGUGCAAUAAGUCUAAAAUUUGAAUUUUUGAAAUACUGACAAUACUCCCACAGAAGUCAUUAACACUUCUGUUCAAAAGAUGGACAUUAUUUUGCAGGUCUGUUUUGCAUGUUUGUAUAAUGUCUUCUGUUUCACAGUGUUCUAUUAUGGGGCUGCUAGCUGGACUGCUGACCUCAUCUCUGGGUCUGCAUGACUGUGAUAUGAUAUGAUACAGAACAAAAUGUCUGUAAUAUCUGUAUCCUACAGAGCAUUAACUACAAUUAGAGUGUCAGUUUAGUUUGAAUGAGGUGCCAUUUGUUUUUUCCCAACAAAAAAACUGCUCCCAACACUCAGUUGCCUGGAUAAAACGCUGUCUCUUGAAAACCUCAGCGAGAAAACAGCUUAUCCUGAAGGUGAACAUCCUGACACAAAUGGUGAGUAAUCUACUUGAAAUAGUCAUAAUGUGACCUGAAAUGUCUUUCUGACAGUGCACAUGGCUUUUUCUCCUGCUCUGGGCUUUUGAACAUUAGAUGACCCUUCAGCUUUUACCUGAGAACAGUACCAUCAGACCUUUUCAUCCCAGCUCAGCUGAAGCAGGUUGCUAGAAUUGGGUCAGAUUGCUGUGCUUUCAGACAAGUUGAAUUCCUUCCUCAGGAGAUUGUUGACAAGCUCAGGAAUUGGACAUACCUCCGUCAAAGCAUGGCAGUAAUCCUUUUUAUGUAUUUAUUUCUACUUCAUCAACUCCGAACAAGAGUUCUCCUUAGAACAUAUGCUUCACUGGAGUUCUGGUUGUGCAGAGUAUUCUGCAUAUGGUGUAUUUUCUGGUGUGUAUAACUCCAUUCCCACCUCAUGUAUUUUUGACAGGGUAUCUCUUGUAGUUAGGAUAAUAAAAAUCACUUGUUAGACUGCAUUCUGAGGGGAAGAAACAUUCUUGUGUUGUAGCUCCUGUUCAGCAAGCUGUCUGAUCUGUGUUGGAGGAAAAAAUCAAUACACAGUUUGACUAGAGAAGUCAGAUCAAAUAUCAAUGUUUACUUUUUAUUUAGAGAGUUCAGGUGCUUUUUGUAGCAAAGCAAUUAAGCUGCUCCUAAUAGUACUACAGUACAUCUUGAAAGAGUUUUUGAGCUGACAUUGCUUUGGAGACAAAAGCAAUAGUGCACAUAUAUAUGCUAUGCUUGCUUUUGUUUCUGGUAGUUCAUCUAUAUUUUAUCUAGUUUAUUUUGACAACAGCUGCCUGAAUAGAUUAUAUAUACUCACUGUUCUUGUGAAAAGAGUAAGCCAUGCCAUGUCAUUGUAAGACAAAGCUGUGUUCUUUCAGGGAAGUCCUCGUCAGAAAUGACAAGUGAUGGUGCUGCAGGGAGUUUACCAAAUUAACUGUUUUUCAAAGCAUACGCUGCCAUUGAUUAUGACCUGACUUCUGAAAAGAUCUGACUUCUGUCACUACAGUCAUGAGAUACCUAUCAAGUGGAACAAACACUCACUGUGCUUGUUCUUGCAUAGCUUUUCCUUUUGAGGAAUUCAUCUGUCUUCGUGAUGUUUUGUGCUUCAGGCUUGCUGUUCAGACCCAUUGCCAGGUUUCUGUUUAUGACAAUAUAUUGGUAAACAAUCAAAUCUGUAAGGUAUAACACAGUUAUGUGGCUCUAAAUAGUUAAAAUGUUGACCAAUAUUAAGAAAAAGAUUUACUUUCAAAAAUUCAUUGGCAGGUAUAUUUGGAAAUACUAUGUCAAAAUGAUUUCAUAAUAAGUGUAGGUUUGUUAAGACUGAGUUUCUUCACUCAGGCCAGCUGCAGUAAGAGCAAGGAAGAUUUGGAACUAAAUUCUGGGAUGUCUGGUUAGUCUGGGAAAGAUCCAUUGGCAGCCCAAGAAAUCACUAGUUUUGUGGUAGAUAAAACAUAGUCCUUGGUGGAGAGGACACGGUAAAUUUUUGUAAGCGCAUCCUUCCUGCAACCAGUCUGUUCUGGGUAAACUGCCACUGAGUUUGGCUUAGGCAGCCUUUGGCCAGAUAACAGAGGGACUGGAAAGCAGAACCCCAAAUACAUGUCUGCUUCCUUACUCCUGCUGUUUAUAAACAAAACAACAUUUAUUCCUUUGAAGGUACAAAGCAAAUAUGAAAAUUUAUAACCAAGUACCCCCUUUUAUUGCUUCUCUCCUUAAUUUUGUCUAUGUUCACCACUCUUAAUAAUAAAAUUGUCUUGUUGCUCUAUGUUCCCUAUUCUUCAUAAGAACUGAUUUUUUUUCUCCUGAUCUUAACCAUAGUGCUGGAAAGAGCGAUUAUCCUUUACCUAGCUGCAGUGAAGUAACUCUGCUAGAUAAACGUUGGUAAGAGUUGCACUUGUGAUUUCAAGGUUCUGGUUUUUUUUCUUCCAAAUCACAUGGAUUUUCUGGAGAAAAGGAGGUUGAAAGGUGACCUGACUGCUCUCCAUGGUUCCCUGGGGAGGAGAAGUAAAGAGAGGUACUGGGCUCUGCUCCUGGGAACUGACAGCACCGUGGGAAUAGCAAAACUCUGCUCCAAGGGAGGGUCAGACUGGGCGUUAGGAAAUAAGUUAAGUUUCUUACAGAAGUGGUUGAUGCCUCUUGACUCUUAAAGUUCAAGAGGUAUUUGGACAACGCCCUCAAUAAUGUGCUUAACUAUUGGUUAGAUUUGAAAAGGUCAGGCAGUUGGACUUGAUCUUUACUGAUCCCACGCAACUGAACUAUCUUUUCUGUUUUAAAGGAUAGAACAUGCUGAACAGAAUUGGUUCUAUUUUAUAAGGCUGCAGUGCUCUAGGAAGCCUUCAGGAACCUACUUUUAAAAAUACAUUUUCAUAAUGUAAAAAACUUAUGUGAUUUCUUGUGUAUUUUUUUCUCAGCUGAAAGUUUUUAAUGAGCUGUGUAGAUACCUCCUGACAACCCAAGUGAAUUUUCUGUAUCAUAGAAGAUAUUUUCAUUUUAUUUAAAUGACUCCUUUUCUUAUUCUCAAAUAUAAAAAGUGCAUGUAAACAGUUCCCAGAAACUUAUACUCUAGCAAAACAAAUAGCAAAGCUUUAGAAUCUUUUUUUUGCAAAACCUACUAACUUGUGAAACAACAGAAUAAGCCAUCUUAGAUGAAACAGUAUUUAAAGUAAGAGGCAAGAAAAUGAAAAGCAUGCUAAUUAUCAGAAAGUCUAUAAUUUUACUUCCAGCACUUUGCAAUUAGUGCACGCAUUUCUCAGAUACCUGCUAUUUAUUUUGAUUUUUUUUUGAUGCAAACUUCUAAGCACAUGAAAAAUUCGUUUUUAUUUGUACUUUCCUACUUAGUGUGUUUUAGCUACAGUUUUGCACUUAACAUGCAAUGAAAGCAUACAACCUGAAAAGUAGAUUUUUUUGUUUAUGAACUGUAAUUAUAACAUAUUAAUGAAAUUAAUAUUACAUUUUGUGCUAGAAACAGAAUAAGAGUGGAGAACAAGCGCUGCAAUUUAAUUUUGUAACAACAUAAUUAAGUGUCAUGUGAACACAAU